rnacentral:rRNA from 1 species
GACGAACGCUGGCGGCGCGCUUAACACAUGCAAGUCGAACGGAAAGGCCUGCUUUCCCUUGUGGAUUGCGGGUACUCGAGUGGCGAACGGGUGAGUAACACGUGAGUGAUCUGCCCCCAACUUGGGUAUAAGCCUGGGAAACUGGGUCUAAUUCCCGAUAGGACUGCAGGGUGGUGCCUGUGGUGGAAAACGAUUUUCUAGUGGUUGGGGAUGAGCUCGCGGCCUAUCAGCUUGUUGGUGGGUAAUGGCCUACCAAGGCGGCGACGGGUAGCCGGCCUGAGAGGGUGGACGGCCACAUUGGGACUGAGAUACGGCCCAGACUCCUACGGGAGGCAGCAGUGGGGAAUAUUGCACAAUGGGCGGAAGCCUGAUGCAGCGACGCCGCGUGGGGGAUGACGGCCUUCGGGUUGUAAACUCCUUUCGACCGCGAGGAAGCCACCUGGUUGGAAGGGUGGUGACGGUAGUGGUAGAAGAAGCACCGGCUAACUACGUG